GCAAGACAUCGAGUUCAUGUAAAUAUCAUCAUAUGAAAACGAGCUCUUACCCUCAUUCAUCAGUAUGAGCAGGUUCGUUUUCCUAACUUUCUUAUCUUCAGCGAAUAGAGAAGAACGUAUUCUUUUUGAAGAGUAGUAAAGAAAUGCAUCUCGUUUUCUUUUCAUUGAAUAAUCGAGUUGUGGGGGAAGCGUUUAACCAUUAUAAAAACAUAAUGUUUCAGUUACGUGGGAAUGAAGUAAU
rnacentral:lncRNA from 1 species